rnacentral:lncRNA from 1 species
GGGGGAAAUACUUCUGUGUAUGUUUAUAAAUAAAGUACUUGCUUGGCCAAUGAGACAGCAGGUUAGGCUGGACUAGGAGUCAAAGAGGAUUCUGGGAAAUGUAGUAGAGAAGUAGUGUUCCAGACAGGAAGUGACAUAGCAAGGAGACUCAUAUUUAAGAAGAGGAAAAAGGAAGUGUUGCUCUCUUUCCCCUCGGCUCCUGCUCCAUCCUGCUCCAUCCUGCUCCAGCGGCAAGAUGUGAUCCACCAGCUAGGAGGGACGCCAAUAAGGCGUCCGAUAAGGUGAUACAAAAGGAUACAUUACCAUUAAGCCCCAAAUGGUUUCUUAAGAGUGUCUUUUGUUUGGGACUACUAUAUCCCAUUGCCAUGGACAUAGAAAGAGAGUGGUUAAUAAUGAUAUUGUUCCUUUAA